AUUUUGUUUUUCCUUUUCUUCUUCCUUUUCUUCUUCCUUUUCUUUUUCCUUUUCUUAUUUUGUUUUUCCUUUUCUUCUGUUUUGGUUUCUUUUGCAUUGGUUUCUUUUGUUUUGUUUUCUUUGUUUUUCUUUUUGGUUUUCAUUUGGUUUCUUUCUUCUUCCUUUUUUCUUCUUUUUUUCUUNNNNNNNNNNNNNNNNNNNNNNNNNNNNNNNNNNNNNNNNNNNNNNNNNNNNNNNNNNNNNNNNNNNNNNNNNNNNNNNNNNNNNNNNNNNNNNNNNNNNNNNNNNNNNNNNNNNNNNNNNNNNNNNNNNNNNNNNNNNNNNNNNNNNNNNNNNNNNNNNNNNNNNNNNNNNNNNNNNNNNNNNNNNNNNNNNNNNNNNNNNNNNNNNNNNNNNNNNNNNNNNNNNNNNNNNNNNNNNNNNNNNNNNNNNNNNNNNNNNNNNNNNNNNNNNNNNNNNNNNNNNNNNNNNNNNNNNNNNNNNNNNNNNNNNNNNNNNNNNNNNNNNNNNNNNNNNNNNNNNNNNNNNNNNNNNNNNNNNNNNNNNNNNNNNNNNNNNNNNNNNNNNNNNNNNNNNNNNNNNNNNNNNNNNNNNNNNNNNNNNNNNNNNNNNNNNNNNNNNNNNNNNNNNNNNNNNNNNNNNNNNNNNNNNNNNNNNNNNNNNNNNNNNNNNNNNNNNNNNNNNNNNNNNNNNNNNNNNNNNNNNNNNNNNNNNNNNNNNNNNNNNNNNNNNNNNNNNNNNNNNNNNNNNNNNNNNNNNNNNNNNNNNNNNNNNNNNNNNNNNNNNNNNNNNNNNNNNNNNNNNNNNNNNNNNNNNNNNNNNNNNNNNNNNNNNNNNNNNNNNNNNNNNNNNNNNNNNNNNNUAAAAAAAAUCAGAAAAAUAAAACUAAUUCAUUUUAAAAUCUUAAAAAUACAAAUAAUAUAUCAAAAAAUCAGAAAAAUAAAACUAAUUCAUUUUAAAAUCUUGAAAAUACAAAUAAUAUAUCAAAAAAAAUCAGGAAAAUAAAACUAAUUCAUUUUAAAAUCUUAAAAAUACAAAUAAUAUAUCAAAAAAAUCAGUUCAUCGAUCCCUUGAAGGUUUGACAAAAGGUUUGAUACAUCAUUCAGUUCAUCGACCAAAUACAAAUCAUCCGGAUUCGCCAUCGUACGUUUUAAUUCACAUGCUCCAUUCAACAAAGUUUGGUACAAUAAAUUAUUACACAUCAAUUCUUCCCUUGUGUCCCUGCUUGCUUACGAUUGUGCCGUAUCCAUGGAGCAUCCUCAUCAUUUAACUUAAUGCUUGGGUCAGUGUUCACUUUGAAGGGCGGAAUUUCACCAAACAUAUUAUAAUCUUCUGACAUGUCUGUCUUGUCCUCCACUCCCACGAUGUUUCUUUUCCCUGAAAGAACAAUGUGACGCUUUGGAUCAUCGCAUGAUGUACUGAUCGUUUUCUUAUCUUUCCGUUUCCUCGGUUUGCUACUCAUGUCCUUCAAAUAAAAAACCUGAGCGACAUCUUUGGCAAGGACGAAUGGUUCGUCAAGGUAACCAAGAUUGUUGAAAUCCACCAUUGUCAUUCCGUAUUGCUCGUCCACCUUUACCCCACCUCCUGUUAGCUUGAACCAUUUGCACCGGAACAAAGGGACCUUAAAGGAGGGUCCAUAGUCAAGUUCCAAUAUCUCCUCUAUGUAACCAUAAUAUGUGACCUUUCGCCCAUUCUCGGUUGCUGCAUCAAAGCGGAUACCACUGUUUUGGUUGGUGCUCUUUUUAUCUUGGGCGAUGGUGUAAAAUGUAUUCCCAUUUAUCUCGUACCCUUGGAAAAUCGUUAUAGUCGAAGAUGGUUUCUUGGCCAACAUGUACAGCUGAUCUCCAACAUCAUUGUCAUUCAUUAAAUGUUUUCGCAACCAACUGCCGAAAGUCUCCAUGUGGGCCUUUCUAAUCCAGGAUUCAGGCUUCCCCGGGUUGUCCGAGCGUAAAAUAUUCUUGUUUUGCUCGAAGUACGGAGCCACAAAGCUGGAAUUUUGCAGAAUUGUGUGGUCUGCUUCAGUCAUAGAAUGACCGUCCAAACAUAUCGGGGAUUUCCUUCCGAUCUAGCCUUUUCCACUUAGUCUCCCCUCGUGCCGCGAUUGAGGAAUACCAAUCGGCUUAAGGUCAGGAACAUAGUCAAUACAGAACUCAAUUACCUACUCAUUUCCAUAGCCCUUGACGAUGCUUCCUUCUGGCCUAGCACGGUUACGAACAUAUUUCUUUAAUACUCCCAUGAACCUCUCAAAGGGGAACAUAUUGUGUAGAAAUACAGGACCGAGAAUGGAAAUCUCUUCGACUAGGUGGAGCAGGAGGUGCGUCAUAAUAUCGAAGAAGGAUGGUGGGAACACCAACUCGAAACUGACAAGGCAUUGGACCACAUCGUUCUGUAACCGUGGUAGAUCUUCUGGAUUGAUUACCUUCUGAGAGAUUGCAUUGAGGAAUGCACAUAGCUUCACAAUGGCUACUCGAACAUUUUCCGGUAGGAGCCCCCUCAAAGCAAUCGGAAGCAAUUGCGUCAUAAUCACGUGGCAGUCGUGAGACUUCAGGUUUUGGAACUUUUUCUCCGCCAUGUUUAUUAUUCCCUUUAUAUUCGACGAGAAGCCAGACGGGACCUUCAUACUGCUCAGGCAUUAAAAAAAAUGACCUUCUCUUCUUUGGUAAGAGCGUAGCUGGCACGACCUUGAAACCAUUCCGGAUGCCGGUCAUCUGGGUCUUUCAAAAGUUGCUGGUCCUGCCGUGCUUCCUUUGUAUCAUUUGUCUUCCCAUACACGCCCAAGAAGCUUAGCAGGUUCACGCAAAUAUUCUUCGUAACAUGCAUCACGUCGAUUGCAGAGCGGACAUCUAGGACUUUCCAAUAUUCUAGCUCCCAAAAUAUAGAUUUCUUCUUCCACAUGGGUGCGUGCCCGUCAACUCCCCGCGGAACUGAUUGUCCGCCAGGACCCUUUCCAAAGAUGACUUUCAAAUCCUUGACCAUAUCAAAUAUCUCAGCACCAGUACGUUCCGCAGGCUUCGGCCGGUGAUCUGCCUUGCCGUUGUAAUGCUUGCCUUUCUUUCUUACGUUAUGAUUUCGGGGAAGAAAUCGACGAUGACCCAGGUACACGUUCUUCUUACAAUUAACCAAACGUACACUUUCAGUCUCAUGUAAGCAGUGUGUGCAUGCAUUGUAUCCCUUAUUUGUCUGUCCCGAAAGGUUACUGAGAGCAGGCCAAUCGUUGAUGGUUACAAAAAGCAACGCUCGUAGGUCAAAUUCCUCUCCUUUGUGCUCAUCCCAGACACUUACACCAGGUCUGGCCCACAACUGUAAAAGUUCAUCAACUAAUGGCCUUAGGUACACAUCGAUGUCGUUCCCGGGUUGCUUUGGACCUUGGAUGAGCACUGGCAUCAUAAUGAACUUCCGCUUCAUGCACAACCAAGGAGGAAGGUUGUAGAUGCAUAGAGUCACGGGCCAGGUGCUAUGGCUGGAGCUCUGCUCGCCAAAAGGAUUCAUGCCAUCAGUACUUAGACCAAAUCUUAUGUUCCUUGCGUCAGCUGCAAAAUCUUUGAACACUCUGUCGAUCUUUCUCCAUUGCAUUCCAUCAGCGGGGUGUCUCAACUCCCCGUCGGACUUACGGUCCUCUUUGUGCCAUCGCAACGACUUGGCAUGCUUUUUGUUCAUGAACAGACGUUUCAACCGUGGUAUUAUAGGAGCAUACCACAUCACCUUGGCGGGAACCCUCUUCCUGGGUUUCUCGCCCUCAACAUCGUCACCAGGGUCAUCGCUCUGAUCUUAUAACGCAAUGCAGUGCAUACAGGGCAUUCAUUCAAAUUCUCGUAUUCACCGCGGUAGAGGAUGCAGUCGUUAAUGCAUGCAUGUAUCUUCAGAACCUCUAAACCUAGAGGGCAGACAACCUUCUUUGCUUCGUACGUACUGGCGGGCAACUCGUUAUUCUUCGGAAACAUAUUCUUCAACAUUUUCAGCAAAUUUUCAAAUGAUGAGUCACCUACACCUUCCUGUGCCUUCCAUUUUAACAAAUCCAGUGUGCAGCCCAGCUUUUUCAGGCUAUUAUCGCAUCCUGGAUACAACGAAUUUUUGUGAUCCUCUAACAUGCGAUCCAAAUUCUCCCUAUCCUUGUCAGUUUCGCAGCGUCUCCGUGCAUCAGCAAUGGUCCGACCAAGAUCAUCAGCGGGCUCAUCAUGUGCCUCUUCUUCACCUUCACCUAACCCUUCCCCACCUUCAGCAUCAUCCUCCAUGAAAGUAUCACCGAAAUGAUCAUGAUAGUUGUCAUCGAUAUCAUCCCCUUCUUCAUCUUCUUCCAUUCUAACCCCUCUUUCUCCAUGCUUGGUCCAACAAUUAUAGCUUGGCAUGAAACCGUGCCGAAGCAGGUGCAUGUGAACGUCUCUUGAGGAGGAGUAACCCUUCUGAUUCUUACAGACAGCACAUGGACAGAUAAUAAAACCUUGCUGCUUGUUCGCAUUUGCCACUACGAGAAAAUCUUUCAAACCCGUAGUGAACUCGCCGGAGAGUCGGGGACCGUACAUCCAUUGCCGAUUCAUCUGCAUUAUUAUUAUAUAAAGUAUAUAAUUAACCAUCAUGCAUUUGUUAAACUAACUAGCUAGAAAUAAUACAAAUUAAACAAUGAACUACACACAUGCGUAUUUUAUCAAUGACACAUGAAAGGUUCAAGUUGCUAACCGCGAUCGCGGAGGAAAAAUAAAUGAGAAAGCUCAAGUGUGGCUCGGACACUUCAUAUCAUGUUUGUUUCAGGCUCUCGGGCAUUUCAUCGAACACCUUGUGUGCAUAGGAGGAACCAAAAGCAAACCCACCACCCCCUUUUGAAAAUUGUGAAGUGAGCUGAGUGAAGUGAAGUGAGCUGAGUCCUAUAUAUAGGGAUGGGCCUUUAGUCCCGGUUGGCCUGGCCAACCGCGACUAAAGGCCUUCGGGGACCUUUAGUCCCGGUUGGCCAGGCCAACCGGGACUAAAGCCCCUCCCGUCCGCCAGCUGGAUGGGCCUUUAGUCCCGGUUGGCCUGGCCAACCGCGACUAAAGGCCUUCGGGGACCUUUAGUCCCGGUUGGCCAGGCCAACCGGGACUAAAGCCCCUCCCGUCCGCCAGCUGUCGACCGAGCGCGCUGGGCCCAGAUAGUUGGUCGCGGGUCUCCUCCCGAACCGCGACUAAAGGCCCCUUUUGUCGCGGUUCGAUUGUUUUGGGGACUAAUGGGGGCGUAUGGAAGCCUCUUUUUCUACUAGUGUGGGCAGCUCUCGGCCAUGAGGACUGCAGUGUGGGAAGUAUUUAGGUUUGAGAAUAUCAAGCGAGAGGGUCCCAGGCUCAAUUUCUUCACACUUGAAAUGCUCUAAUUAAUUUGUCUCGAUAAUAUUAACAACUUACGAACAUUGUUGGCCGUGUUCGUCAGAACUGCAAAUAGAAAAUCAUCUAUUUCAGCAUUUCCUGCAAUCAGGCAACGGACACCGCCGUGGCAUGUCAACAAGGCAAACCGACAUGAGCCAUCUUGUUGGCCUCACCAUGUCAUAAGUCGCCAAGGACACCGCUAUCCUUGGCCGAGAUGGUGGAAUUGUUGUACUUAGGCCGCUUGCCAUCUUCAGAGUAACCUACAUGUGCCCCUUUUUGAUUGCGCGGAGGCCUAGGUAGAACAAGCAGUAUGAUGCGGAAGCCCAGCUUGUUCCAUAUAACACAUUUGUGUAUGCCAAAAGCGCCGACACAGCAACAUGACAGCUCUAGUUACAUGAAUCAUGCAGGCACUUGUUUCUUUCCCUAUGCCUCCCAGUCAUACAUAUUUUCUAGUAUUGUGUUAUUUUCGGGUUCACCGUCAUCCCUCUGUGUUUUUUUAUUGAAACUGAAUUAUCAUAUGAAAGGUUCAAGUUAGAAUUGUGUGGAAGUGUAAACUAUGUAUCAAUAAGAUAUGAUGGGCUUUCUGGAUGCUGAGAUGGGGUCAAAUAUAUAGGAGCGAUAGUGCUAUUUACACAUGUGAAGGUAGGUAGGAAAAUUAAUAAGAUGCGCCAAGUAGAGGUGGCGGUGUGGUCUAUGUACGAAAUGCGAUUUUACCAUUCUAGUAGUUCAGUUUUCGCAAGACUGAGUUAUGACGUCUAGCAUUGUAUCAAGAAAAACAAAUGACUGGAGCAAUUGUUUUCAGAAAUUCUUAUGUUUUGCGUAGCAUGGAGGAACCUGAGUGGUGUAAGCAGCAGCAGUGACUACCGCCUCCAGGCCAUUGCUUUUCCCCUCAUUACUGUUUGUUUGGUAAACGCAUAUUUCUCUCUUCAAGUUCCUUAUUUCUGUUCUCUUCAUGCGUAACUAGCAGGGUGACCCGCGCAUUUGCGCGGCUAGAUUUCCUAUGUGUUUUCAUAGCAAUGAGAUGUUCUGCUGGUCAUGCAGAAUUAUGGAAAAUCUUAUAGACAAAUACAUAUCAUGAAACUCAAUUAUCAUUGUUUGCCAUCGUUUUCUCUUAGUUAUCUUUAGAUAGGAGCUUUUUAUUUACUAACCUAUGUGGCGAUCAUCUUUGACAUAUCUUUCAAAUAAAAAUAUUAUAGUCAAUAUGUAUAUCAUGAUGAAAUACUUUUAUGUGGGGUCAUGAGGAAAUACUUUAUCGUUGUUUUAUUGUGUAUAUUAAGUUUUUGGCAAAAGAUUUGGUAUGUGACAACUAAUGCCAAGCACUAUGCUCUACGCAUGUCAUGCCAAUCUACAAAGAUUCUGGUUGGAUAGUUUUUUUAGCUUUCAACUUUCCUAUUCUUCUAUUCAAUUGGUGUCUCUCUUAUCCGCCAAAAUAAGAAACUUUCUAAUCAAACUUAAUAUCACUCUGAAUAAUAAAAAUAAUCAUGUGUAUUCAUCAAUAACGACUAAAAUAGGCUCGUCGUUAAACUUUUGUCAUGUGGAUGUAUUUGACAAAGAAACUAAAUAAUAUAUGUGUGCGGUAGUGCUCUAUUUUAUAAAUAUUGGUGUGCCUUUUAUUUCAGUUUAUUCACGGCACAUGUAAAAUCCUAUUGCACGGGUCUUUUAUUUUCCUUGAAGAAUUGUAUUAGCAAGUUUCAUCACUUAAUUAGGAUACUAAUUCCUCUCGAUAUACCAAAUGGUAGCGUGUGAAAAAUGUAAGUCUUCUCGCCGUAACUUUUCCUUCUUUUGUCUUCUUUAUACGAUUUUUUAUGGAAUGAUUCAGUGUGGUAUGGUCUAUAUAAAAUAAUGGACAACGAUACAUCAUAUUCUCGGUCGCUAGUUUCUAAUUAGUUAUAUGGACUGCUGCAAAAAAAGUAAUAUGGAUGCUAUACAAUACAUGCGUUUUUAUUGGAAAUGGAUGGUUGAAUGCACUGGCUAAUUAAACAUUAAAGUGCUAAUUUCCUUGCACAUCCCGACUUCUAGCUUCAUACAUAAUUUGUUUAAUUCUAAGUUCAACGAAUAGCAGAUUCAUUAGAUAUAAUGUCAUUGGAGUUCAUAGAAUAACAAAACAGUUUAUGUUUUACUAAAUAAGAGAUUUAUUUUAUUUAUCCAACUAUUAAAAGUUAUAUUACCGUAGUUUAAACUAAAAAAAUCCAAUUCAUAAUUUCAUAUACACCAUGGUGCACAAUAAUGGUGACGAUCAACAGUUGAGCUAAUUAAUCUGUCAACAUGAAUGAACGUGGAACCUGCGAGGUUCUCACAACCAAUUGAAUUUUGUCCAUGGAACUUGUUUGGCCCUCCGCACUUAUUCUAGAUGUCGAUACUUGUGUAUUGCAUUAAAAAAAUAAAGUCCACGCAGUUAUCCUACACAUAAACUUGGUUGACGCAGAUUUAUUUUUUUGCUUUUACACGAACAUAGCUUUCCUGACCUUCCUUAUUAGUUUGAUAAAGGAAUAAAUCCACUUCCAUUUACGUGGCUAGAUUUUAUAUUUAUUGCUGUUUUGGUUCUGUUUAUAAAAUAACUAUGGUUUCUUGUGAGAACCAAUAUAUUUAUCACUUUUUUUCUUCUGUUUCAUUGUCAUUUACAGGCGUUGUGUGAGUCUAUGAAUAGUGGUGUGAGUGGGUCUGCAUGCUUAAGUUCGUAUCUGGCGUUUUCAAGGAAUGUCAUGUCAUGCCAUGCAAAUAAUAAAUAAUAAUAUGCGUUUACAUGUGAAAAAUAUUUUCUCAUAUUUUCACAUGUAUACUCUAUGAAUUGUUGAUCGGCACAUUCGUUCCAUCAAUCAAGAUAAUUUUCAAACAGGUUUCAACCAUGGUAUUUGCAAGCAAUAUUCUUACUUACCUUGACUUCUCACUUCAAUGUACUCCCGUGGAGUUCCUUGAUACAGUGCACAUCCAUGCACGUCUAAGCUAUAUCAUGUCUUGCUUCUCCGUGCUAAAAUAUCUUGUUCACAUGGUAAUCUGCUCCGGUACUAAUUGGACUUCAAGAGUAAUCUGUUUUGUUUCUGUUGGGAAUAAGUUGGCCCGCCUAUGGACUCCUUUUGCGUAUAUGCUGGCCUUGCCAAUUGGAAUAGGUAGCCGUAUUGACUAUGGACUCUCAUUGUUUUUCCGGAGAUAACUAUAUGUGACUCCUUUUUUUUCCUUGUGCCUAUACGCUGGCUCUGCCCAAGAAAUAGGUGGCCGUAUGGACUCUCUCUGCCUUCCCAAGUCGAGGUCAAUGAAUCAACACCGUUCAAUUAUUAUAACUCUAUAAUUUUGAAUCUCCACCAUCCGUUUUCUAUAGUUUUAAUAAUAUAAUAUAAUAUAAUAGAUAGAUAAGUUGUGAUUUUUGUAGUGACAAAUCUUGGUAUGCUACUAGGUGGAGAGAAUCAUCCCAUGUUGCGACUCUCUACAUGGAACAGAGGUGCCAUGACCUGGAGACAUAUCUGGCCCAGGACUCCAAAAUCUGUCCAUCCCUAGCCGAAUGUUAUCUGGUCAGCUACUUAACUUCUUCGUAAUUUGUUCAGUACUACUAGAAAGUAGAAACUAUCAACUGAGGUGGAUGUUAAUCAUAUUGCUACAGUUAGCUAGUACCUAGAAUUAACUGAGAAGUUAGCUUACAAAUUCAAAUUCCAGAUAUAAUUCACUGAGAAGUUAAUUAUAUUGCUACUGCUAGCUAGGAGUACCUAGUAUUCACCUCGUUUUCAUCUCCUACAGCAAAGGUUAUCUGCUCGUUUCCUUGGCUUCUUCACUUCUACCAUGUGCUUCCAAACAACCAUGCUGGAUAGUAGUACAACUCUCCGGCCUUCUGUUUGUUAUAUUCCAUCUGAUUUCUCCCGCCCUUGCUUAUUUCUGCAUCAUGAACUCGUUGUGUAUUUUGUACCUUGGCCAAUCUAAUCUAGCACCCCGUCGCAUUUGAACAACAGUUGAAUUAUUACGAUGACAAAUAACAGACCAGUUAACUUGUUAUUACAAACUCUGCUCUGCUUACGGAAACACUUUCUGACCGAUUCACUACUGGAAUCGAGUUAGACGCCGAGUGCCACGGACACUCGGCAAAGGGUCAAAACCCGCCGGCAAAGCCUUUGCCGAGUGCUGUACUCGGCAAAGGCCACCCGGCGUACACCUCUCUGGCAAACAGGAAUUUGCCGUGAGCUAAACAGUACAACUCGGCAAAAUAAAGUGACUUUCACAUCGCCUGGUUUUGUCAGCUGUUUGCCGAGAGUGGCUCUCGGCAAAGAUGCCACAGCCAACAACUGGCGCAUGCCAGUUUGCCGAGAGUGGCUCUCGGCAAAGCUGCCACAGCCAACUGCUAGCGUGCCACUUUGUCGAGAGCAAGCUCUCGGCAAAGAUCCGUUUCUAGACAACCUUUUACUGCUUUCCCCCUUAUCCCUGCCGCAAAAAUUUAUAUACAAUACACAGACAAGCAUUUCAAGUCUCAAUGUCUAACAACAAACUCACAUAACCAUUACAUAUAAUCGUUCACACGAACUUCUUUUGAGAUCACAAGGUAGCUCUUUAGUACAAAUGCCUACUUACUAAACAAUAAAGUAGUCAAUAAUGCAUUUCUACAUGCGACCACAAGAUAAAAGCAACACCACAAUUAUCACAAACUGAAGAAGAAUUAUCAAGUUCUUCCAUCCACUAAACUCGAUAAGCCGUUUCUGGCUAGCACAUCCAGUCAACCCAUCCACUGAACCCACUAAUACAGAUUUUCUCUUCUGCUUAAGCACAUACUGAUUGUAAUCAUACUCUGCCUUUUCUCUGCUAUUGAACGAGUCGUGGGAGCUGCCUUCAUAAUAAAUCACUUGUUCAUUGCAUUCAGACCAUGAAUCUUAGACUCCUAGACUUCUACCUCUAUACACCGCAUACCACUUCAUCUACAAAGAUAGAGAAAAAAGGCAGAGAAAUAAUGCAAAGGUUAAAAAUGGCACAUCAUACAUAAUCCACGUAAGCGUUCAUCACUCAGACAUUCAAAAGCAUCGCAAAUGGCAAUCUAAGAAGUCCAUAUCAGCACCUACAUGACUACAUCACUAAAUCAACGCCAAACUAUCUAGGUGGACUACUCAGAGGUGUAGUCCGUGAAACCGGUGAUCGUGGAGUCAGAGCACAUCGGGGCAUCCCCCACGGUGGAGGACCAAGCGUCGUCGGGAAUGUACGUCGGUGGACUCAAUGGCAUCGAGCCGUCACACUCCUUAUGUGGUGGGGCCUUCUUCUCUUUGGAUGGGGGACUCUUCUUGGCCAGAUCCUCAAAAUACUUUAUUAGGAUCAGCUGCGGGUCCUUCUCAAUGAGCGCCGCCAAGCGGUCCUCGGCGAGCUUCUCCUUUACCGCGGAGUUGACCCUAAUGGAAGAUGCGUCGUCGGAGGAAGCCAUAGCCACAAAAUCGAUCGGUGCUAACACCUUUCAUCACACAAUGAAAAAUAGCAUAAGAAUCAAACAUCAAAGAUUACUUCUAAGCAAAUUAAUCAUGAUGGACACUAUCUCACAGGACGAGUAUAUAUGGUGGAAUUCUCUCUGGUGGUGGUAUAUAUGGUGGUCACUUUCUCACGGAUAUUUCGACUUUCGGUGAUGGUCAAGCUGGGCGAGUCCAUCGCGCGUGACAACUGUAUAUCACAAGAAGAACUCGCCCAGAUUGACCGCCAUCGGCAAAGGACGAUUUUCUUUCUCCAAGAACAACUCUCAUCUCUCUCACGUAUAUAUGCUGGAACUCUCUCUGGUGGUGGUAUAUAUGGUGGACACUAUCUCAUGGAUAUUUCGACUUUCGGUGAUGGUCAAGCUGGGCGAGUCCAUCGUGCGUGACAACUGUAUAUCACAAGAAGAACUCGCCCAGAUUGACCGCCAUCAUCGAAAGUUUUCUUACUCCAUAUAGCAUCCAUACGAACAACAAGAACUAUUAGAUGCAUCAACAAUUAAUUAUCUAUACAAAAAAUUAACAAUUUUCUACAUUCAUCCAUAUUUCUUUGCAUCCAUCUAUGCAUUCAUGCAUACAUACAUACAUCCAUCCAUCUUUAUAUUGAUACAUAACAAAAACUAAAAAAAAUAUUACUACAAAAAAUAGUUCAUGCAUCAAUUCAUGCAUCAAUCCAUGCAUUAAUACAUACAUAUAUACAUUCAUACAUCCAUGCAUCCAUAUAAAAAUCCAUCAAUCCUUGCAUCCAAAUAAUUAUCCAUGCAUCCAUACAUACACUCAUGCAUAAAUACAAGAUCGGGGAGGGGGGAUGAAGCUCACCGAGAGGGGAGGUGGUGCCGACGGGUUUGCGGGGUCGCCGGCGGAGUUGGGAGGGGGGCACCNNNNNNNNNNNNNNNNNNNNNNNNNNNNNNNNNNNNNNNNNNNNNNNNNNNNNNNNNNNNNNNNNNNNNNNNNNNNNNNNNNNNNNNNNNNNNNNNNNNNNNNNNNNNNNNNNNNNNNNNNNNNNNNNNNNNNNNNNNNNNNNNNNNNNNNNNNNNNNNNNNNNNNNNNNNNNNNNNNNNNNNNNNNNNNNNNNNNNNNNNNNNNNNNNNNNNNNNNNNNNNNNNNNNNNNNNNNNNNNNNNNNNNNNNNNNNNNNNNNNNNNNNNNNNNNNNNNNNNNNNNNNNNNNNNNNNNNNNNNNNNNNNNNNNNNNNNNNNNNNNNNNNNNAGAGAGAGCGAGAGAGAGAGAAGAGACCACGCGGGGGGUUAAGUGUUCGCCGACCCUUUACCAAGCAUCUGUCGGUGCGGCUCUCGGUAAAGGAAUGAGACCUAGAUAAAGGUUUUACACCAUUUCUGAGAGAAACGCUCGGCAAAGGAUAUACCACACUCGGAAAUGGCAAACAUACCGAGAGCCACGCUCGGAAAUGACACCCCUCCCUCGUCUGUGCAAGGCAUAGGCAUGCCACAAGGACAUCACAAAUGAUUCCACAUGCUGCUACCCGGCAUGAUUUCAUGUGCCACCUUGCUGAUCUGCAAUUCCCGGCGAUGAAACCCUAACAGAGCAAUAAAUUUCUCGAAUAUUGCGCGCGUCCCCGAAAAAUGCGAGGCCGUGCCACGUGCCAUGCGGUUGCCCCCUCAGAGCACUAGAAGUUUCGAGUCCAAUGGAGCAAUAGGACCAUCACUUCCUGCACAAACCAGACACGUUCCCUCUUGAUACCCAGAUACUAGCUCGGAGACGGUGCAGUUUACAAGCGGCCUCAGGGGAGGCUUACUCAAAACGCGUCCAAACUUUUACCACAGCCUACAGAGGUCGUGUGAUGACACCGUGCCAGAUCCCAAGCAAUACUACCAUCGUACGAUUUUCUGAGGAUUUCAACAGUUGCAUCUGGAAUGACACCGAUGUACUUUUGGUAACCCGGUGGCAGGGCAUGCCCCUCCCUCGUCGGUGCAAGGCGUAGGCAUGCCACAAGGACAUCACAAAUGAAUCCCCAUGCCGCUACCCGGCAUAAUUUCAUGUGCCACCUUGCUGAUCUGCAAUUCUCGGCGAUGAAACCCUAGCAGAGCAAUAAAUUUCUCAAAUAUUGCGCGCGUUCCCGAAAAAUGCAAGACCGUGCCACGUGCCAUGCGGUUGCCCCCUCUUAAGCAUGAGAAGUUUCGAGGCCAACGGAGCAACAGGACCAGCACUUCCUGCGCAAACCGGACACGUUCCCUCUCAAUACCCAGAUACUAGCUCAGAGACGUUGCGGUUUACAAGCGGCCUCAGGGGAGCUUACUCGAAACGCGUCCAAAUUUUUACCACACCCUACAGAGGCCCUGUGAUGACACCGUGCUGGAUCCCGAGCAAUCCUACCAUCGACAUCACAAAUAGUCAUUUGUAGGAGAGGUGGGACUAAAUUUUGAUGGUGCUUUUAUCUUUACCGGGAGCCACUCUCGGGUACCCGAGUAUAGCCGAUAAAUCCAAAAAAAUACAUCAGUCAUCCAUGCUCUUCAGUUGAAGAAUAUACAUGAUGAAUACAGAUGAUAAAUCAUAUUCAUCCUUCAUAUCCUCCAUAUAGAGUGCAAGGAAGACCCAUACUUCUAACAAUCUAAUAGAUGAAUGUAUUUAAGCAGGUGUAGGACUUGCUCGGGGGGCGAGGUGGGACUAAACUUUGAUGGUGGCCUUAUCUUUACUGAGAGCCACUCUCGGGAACUUCUCAUUUACCGAGAGCCACUCUCGGGUAACAGCCACUAGAAGAUUCAUAGUGACUAUAUGGACUCUUAGUAAUGAUAGAAGACCGAAGCUUACUGGUUAAACAGGUCAUUUUGCUAGUCGGCAGGCGAGGUGGGACUAAAUCUUUGCCGACGCCACUCUCGGCAAAGAGUUGGAACCGUAACCGUGCCGUUAGUCGCCGCCGAAUGUGCCACGUGGCAAAACUUUGCCUUGUGUGGCCGGAUGGCCCUCGGCAAAUAGUGUCUUUGCCGAGUAUACCCUGUUUGCCGAGCAAUACUGUCGGCAUUGUCGUGUGUUUGCCGACUUACUCCCUUUGCCGAGUGCAACUCCGGCGUUCUUUACUUUGUCGAGUGCCUGUGUUUUGGCUCUGGGCAAAGACGCCGACAACUCCAGUAGUGAUUGGAGAAUACAUGUGAGAAACACUUGAAUUGGACGAUGUAUAAACAUCUGCAUUCCUACUAGUUGAUUGAUGACUACUGAAAAAUUGCUGAUGAUUACAUCUUUGAGUGCCUCUUUUUGGGAACCUCUACAGCAACGCACUUGGUAAUUCAGACUUACAGAGUUCUCAGCUGGAAAUCUACUACGGUGGACAUGGCAUUGCUGGUUUGGUUAGCCUUGUUCUUAUCUCGAUGGAUCAAUUGGUGCCAGAGAUGAACAUGGUCAGUGUGGUGUAUUGUCCAGCCCAAUAGCAAUCACUUCUGUCUACACACGUAUAGUAGUGAACACUCGCCCACACGGUGCGAAAGGACAUCCCAGGUAAACAUAGCAUGAACGCCGUGCAUAAGAAUCAUUGUUUGAUAUUACGUCUGAUUCUUCAUCAUCUUGAUCCAUGCAUCCAUAUCAGUAUCUUGAACUGUGCUUCUUGAAUGUGAAGGUGUUUCAGCCUUUCAGGAGUAAGAGAAUAAGCAACAUUGGAUUGUUCUUGUGGUCUUACGUCACAAAUUGUCAUGGUUUCAAUCGUUGCACUUGGAAGUUAUUUCGUGCAUGUCACAAUUGGAUCAACUCGAGAGCCAUUAGUUUCAUGAAAGGUUACAUCAAGGGGUGUACUUGUGGAAAAUAAAGCACGGUAGCGAGGGUAGCUUCCGGGCAAAACAUGAUCAGUGUAGUGUACAUUCCAAUCCUAUAGCAAUCAGUGCUAUCUACAGUAGUAGGGAACAGCGACAUUUUCCUGUAUUGAAAAGUACCCACAUACAGUAGCGACCAGACUCCGCGUACUGUACCGAGCAGUUCACCAUGCUGUACGCACAGGAACCCGGCUGUGCAUACGUGCACAAUAUAGGUUUUCCGCUUAGGGCCACUUUGAUUCGCAGGAUUUUGAAAAUGUAGUAAUAUGAAAAGUAUAGGAUUGGGGUGGCAUGCCAAAUUGAAUCCUAUAGGAUUAGCAAGGAGUGUUUGAUGCCACAUUAAAAACAAAGGAAUUAUAAAAAGAGGUUGGAGUGGAUGUUAGAUUUCCCAUGAAAUGUAGUAUAAAAGAUUCCAUAGAAAAAAUUCCUAUGGGAUCCAAUCCUAUGAAUCAAAGGGCCAACAUAGGAAAAAUUCCUAAGGAUUUCAAUCUUCCAGAAAUCCCAUAGAAUUCCUUUGAAUCAAAGGAGCCCUUAAUGUUUAGAAUAGCGACGGGCAAUAAUUAUGAAUUAAUUGAACAAUUAUUGUGUAAACCUCUAACCAGCGGACCAGAAGUCUCGUGGGUGUGACGCUGCUGCCACUGUGAGGAAAAAGAUGGGUUCGUGUAUACACAUGUAUAGCUGCCCACUGUAGUCCAGUUGAGGAAAAUGAUACUAGUACAUGUACAGACAUCUUCAGCACCCAAAUAACCCAAUCAGUGCAUGUAACCAUUGAGUUUUCUAUGAGCUCUUGUCCAGUUGGAGAUGAUAAGCACAGAGGCAUCACCAUGUAAUUUUAUUUUUUUAAAGUGGUGCUCUCCUCAUGCUCAAACCACAAAAUAGAAUACAAGCCCAUCCUCCCGAUAUGCCAGUUUAUUACACCAGCAAUGCUCAUCAUCCUUCUUGGCCUACUCCUUGGUCCACCACGGAGGCGGCAGCCCCUAGUCCGCUUCAUGCUCCAGGCGGCGCUUGUGCUGGAGCUUCACACAGAGAUCCCGCUCCUGGCGAUACUCUACUUCCUCAUCGUAGGGCUGCAUGCAUCGGCCUCUUGCUCGGUCAGCGCUCGUCGCACCAGCCCGUUGCCACCACCUCGGCAAAGGACAGUGUGACAGGUGGCAGAUCUGAGGUGGGCACCAAGUAUUUUGCCACAAAUCCUUGCCGCCUAAUCUCUGAUAUAGAGGCAGGAAACCUACCUCUGGAUCUGAGGCCACUUGACUGUCCUGGGCCAUUUGGGCCGUAAGGGCAUCGGACGUCUGCGUACCGGUUCAUAUGGGCACCAAGUCAGCAGGAGCUAGACUCCUGUGUCAUGGCCUAACAGAGCAGUCCGCGAACAAGGCUUUUUCAGGCAGGGUGGCCCUAGGAGCAGCCCACUCCCAUGUGCGUGAUAGGCCACGCAACCCUUUGCUUAUCAUGAUCAAUCGUCUAGAAGAAUCAUUAUUCGAUGUUACGUCUGGUUUUUCUUGAUCCCACAAGUUUUCUAAAGGGAUAAGUAUAUUUUUCGGCCCUAAACUCUCGAAAGUAUACAGAUCGCCCCUCUACUCUCAAACCAGCAAAACUUAGUCCUUCAACUUAUCAAAUCUGAUUUGUUUAGUCCCUCUACUCACUUGAAGUGGUUUUUCAAUUGACGUGGCAUGGUUUUGACCGGUCUUCGUCCAUGUGGCAAAAUUAUUCUAUCCUUUCAUCUUAUCACAGGUGUAGGCAUUUUGUCGAGCACAUGACGUGCUAUGUCCGCUGCUCCUAGCGGCAUGCCUCCGUCCUAGUCGGACGAGGGACUAAACUCAUCCGGUUUAAUAAGUUAAGGGACUAAGUUUUGCGGGUUUCAAAAUUGAGGGACCAUUUCUAUACUUUAAAGAGAAUUCAAGGAUGAAAAAUAUACUUUUCCCUUUCAAAAUAAUAAAGAGUACCACGCGAUGCACGUGGUAGGCUACUUAAUUCUUCCCGCCUUCCAAAAUAUCUUUGAUAGUGAUCAGCAAUACUGAUCACACUUAUUUCUUGCAAUAUGUCAAAUUUGAGAAUAGUGAUGGGCAAUAAUUUUUUUUCUCGAAUACGCACAAGCAUGCGUAUCAUCGCAUUAGAGAGGAAGCGGCAAAGAAGCCGGGUAAAACGCCUUUUGGCCAUUACAACACCAAUCACGAGGAUUAGCAGCCACACACACCCCAUGCGAACUACGAAACAUGCAUCACCUAGAUCAAGCCCAAGCCCAUGGCCAUGAGGCAAAUCACAGAGCUACCAAGCCGCGUCACAACCAACGCCGAAGACCUCUACAACAUGACCGAGACCCGAGGGCAGCACAAACCAACGUACCCCCACCCAUUUGUGCCAAGAAGAAGUCAGCAGGUGGAAGGCAGGGCCCGGGCAGACCUAGAGAAGGCGCCGUCGAGAGAUCACCAGCGUUGAUGUACAUUGCGCCUUGAGGCUCACGCCCAGAGCAGUUGCCAACACCGACUCGAGCCGCACCAACGAGACUCCUCAAGCAACAAGACGAUGCCUCCAAGAAGGGAACGCUGCCAUGACGCCGCCAUCGCCUGGUCCGAAGGUCGGACCAAGGGUUUCCCCCGAGCAUGAGGGAGGGAGUCAGGUCGGGGUCAAGACAACGCCUCCAAGGAGGGGACGACGCCCGCGGGCGUCGCCGUUGUCAGCCUCGGACAACGCGAAGCAGGGAUUUCUCCCAACCCCAGACCACGAAUCCCUAUGUCCAUCGGAGUUUCUCGAACGGGUCGACCACCGCAACGGGAGGAGAGCGCGCAUCUCGUAGCACCGCAUCCACCGCCACCACAUGAACCAAAUCAAGAACAGGGCACCACAGCCCUGCCCGGAUCGAUCCUGCCACCACAGCACCACCUCCACCGCGCCCACAGGACACCACCACAUCCACCGCGACCUGCGGCCUGCCUCAAUUACGCCGGCGAAGUGAGCCACCGGCAUCUGAGCCGCUACCGACCGCAGCACACGGAUCUGGGCAGGGAGAACCCGAGAUCCACCGCCACCGGUGUCCACAGCUGGCCCCCACGCUGCCCUCGAACCAUAGUGGCUCAACCCCGCCAAGAUCCCCUGGGGCCGCCGUCCCAGCAUCCGCAUGCACCAGACCCGCCGUCGUCUUGCGCAAGAGAAGCCCCAUGACAGGUUGUCGCCGAUGGAACCCAACCUCAGCGGCAGCCACCGUGCGCCACCAGAUCACCUCGCCUAUCCGGUUCAAGCCGGCCUGCCGCAGGCACCACGAAGCCGCCGAGACGCCAUCUCGCCAGAUCUGAGCGCUCGCCUCUCAAGGAGAUGCCCCGCCGCCAGCCUCCCUGGAACCUGUCCGGGCUUCGCUGGCGUGCUCCUCAGGCGGCGGCUAGGUGAGCGGGAGGACGAGGGUGGGAGGUGCCGGCGCCGGUGGNNNNNNNNNNNNNNNNNNNNNNNNNNNNNNNNNNNNNNNNNNNNNNNNNNNNNNNNNNNNNNNNNNNNNNNNNNNNNNNNNNNNNNNNNNNNNNNNNNNNNNNNNNNNNNNNNNNNNNNNNNNNNNNNNNNNNNNNNNNNNNNNNNNNNNNNNNNNNNNNNNNNNNNNNNNNNNNNNNNNNNNNNNNNNNNNNNNNNNNNNNNNNNNNNNNNNNNNNNNNNNNNNNNNNNNNNNNNNNNNNNNNNNNNNNNNNNNNNNNNNNNNNNNNNNNNNNNNNNNNNNNNNNNNNNNAGCGUUAGGUCGGAACGGUCCUGAAGCCAGCAUGUGCAUCGAUGGGCAAUAAUUGUUUAUUUUUUAAUUUUGCGAAUAGUGAUGGCAAUAAUUGUGCAAGAGCGUGCAAAUUCCAUAAAUACAAAGUGCGGCCAAAAUUAUCCCCAUUCAUUAACAUACACCAGCAAGUGUAAUAAGCAGAACUAGUGGACGCGGAGCAGAAACUUGUAUCAACUCCAGUAGAAGAAAAAAAACCUGAUGAAAAACAAGAAAGAAAGAAAGAAAACCGGAGAAAAAAGAAAAAAAGGAAAAGCCCAGUGAAAACCAAGAAGGUGAUAAAGGAAACCAAAAUAACAAGAAAAAGGAAAGAAAAGAAAAACCAAUGAAAAAAGAAAAGAAAAACAAAGCAAAAAAACCUGGAAAAUAAAUAGUGAAAACACGGCUCGUUUUGACUUAAGAAGGCCAGGCCUACUAUUUAGUGACGAAUGGGAGUCCACCGGGGCGCGGCGCUCUCUUUUCUUUCUCUUCCUAUUUCUUUCAAGUGUCCUCUAUUGGGCUGGUCUGUUACUGUAGCCUUAACGCGGUCUCGCUUAAAGCGAGAAAUAGUUCUUGUGGUCUUGUACAUCUAUAAGUGUUUGUAGGCCAACUGGCAAGGGCCAAUAGAGCGGUAAGGGCCUCGAACGUCUGUAAGGGCAACCCUUGCAGGAGAGCGCAGUGUCAUAGCCCCACCACCCUCGGAAGGACAUCCCAGGUAAGCACAUGAACGUGGUGCACAAGAAUCAUUAUUCGAUGUUACAUCUGAUUUCCUUGAUCCUGCAAGUUUUCUAAAUCUAUAUCUAUACCUAAUAAUAAAGAACGGAGGCUUUCAUAAUUCUUCAUACGUCACCUCUUUAUAUCUAUUGAUUCUAUGUUAAUCAUAAAGAUUAACGACUGAGAUUUAAAAGACACAGUUCAGAAAUUUCGUCCCCGCAUUCGUUCGUCCGUCCGUGCGCUUGGCUGUGUGUCCAGGUCGUAUACAACAAGAAAAGCUUGGUUGUUUCCUUAAAAAAAGGCUUGAUUGUAUCCGUGUCCAAGUCUUCAAGAUGGGGCAGUAGGAGGCUGUGACCGGGUAAGAUGGCAAGAAAGAUGAGGAGAUCGAGCAGCCACGAACGAGGACCAUGCAGCACAAGGACUCGACGUUGGCACACCGAGGCCGUCUAGGGCAGCAACUCAACAGUCAACACGGCCGUGGCUUGGCUGCCGGGACAGGAACCCGCCACCGCAGUGCUGGCUUAGCCGCCGCCAUGACUUGAACAAUGAUUUGCACGAGGGGCGCCACUCGCGCAGACUCGACCGCCCUGAUGCAGCCGCACUGGCCACCACACCUCUGCAGCUUCACGCCAUGGUCUGAACCAGAGAGCCCGUCUUCUUCAUCGUCAACUGGCCGCAUUUCCGCCACGAUCCUCACGUCCAGGGCGCCGCGGCACGACCAAUCUGCAGCACGGAGCUGCUGGUAAUUAGUCCCAUAUAAAGAUCCUACUGAUUAAUUAAGGUAGCUGAUUGCUUGCUUCUUGGGCGUACAGCGUGUUCGUCUGCUCUCCCUUCCUUUUUAUCCCAGUAUGCAAGAUUUUAACAUGAUUGAGUUCUCGUGGGCACUGGUUUUGUGGUGGACAGAAGGCCAUACAAAGAGUAAAUGGGCAAUGGAACAGAUAUGACAGAUACAUUAGAUCGUGUGUGCCAGACUUUCGACGUGUAUGCACUACUAGAAUUUUUCCCUUUGCCGAGUGUUAGGCCCUUUGCCAAGUGCAUUAUGUCGGGCACUCGGCAAUAGUAUCUUUACCGAGUGCUACACUCGGCAAAAAUAUGAAACUCGGCAAACAGAUACUUUGCCGAGUGUCGUGGACAAAACGCUCGGUAAAACAACAAAACUCGGCAAACAGGACUUUACCGAGUGCUACACUCGGCAAAAGGGGGUCUUUACCGAGUGUCACACUCGGCAAAAGGAGGUCUUCACUAUGCCGAAUGGUUUUGGCUGUACAGAUUGCAUACGGCCUUGGAUGAAGAUGGUCCAAACAUAAAAGUUGUUCAUUUUCACGAGACGGAUAACUUUGAUGUUGACAACUUUUUCAUUUGAGGCCAUAUUAAUUGCACUUUUUGCCAUGUAAAAAUUUAGUCUUAAAUGACUUAGGCGAUGAUCAUAUUCAUUGCAUCGUUUGUUAUAAUGUUCCCAAAUUAGACACAUAGGUGUGUCUUGACAUUACAAACAAUGUUGCCAAAUAGGGUUCCCUAAUUUUUCGAAAAAAAAUAUUUUUUUCCAUUUUCUAAGUGUCAACAAUGAGUAUUUUUUGUGAAGCAAGUACAAAAAACAGGCUGCAAAAUGGCACCACUUCAAUUUUCACAAUAAGUAGACCUUAUUUUAUGAACAAUGCCCAAGUUUCAUGGAUUUUCUGGAUCUCUAGCUACUUUCACGCAUUUAAAUGACUUUAUGUUGAUUUCUCAAAUGUAAUUCAAAUUUGAACUACAAGUGUGUGAUAGCUCCGUCCUAAAAGUUAGAAAAAUAUAUUUUUAGAUACACAAAUAGGCAUUAUAUGGGAGAACCACUUCGAGUUUUGAGAGAUUCAAGCCCUUGCAAUGAAUAGCCAUGCUGCCCAUUUUGACCCCAUUUUGAAGAAAAUGAAUACAAGUUCAAAAAAUGCAAUCAUUUUGCAUGGAGUCCUUUUAUGUGUACUAGUUGCAAGGAAAAAUACCAAACUUUCAAUACUAUAAAUUGGGAACAAAAUUCUUCACAAAACGGGCUAUCAUGUAUGAACAUUGAUGGCUUUCAAGUCAAAUUACCAGUAUGAUGGCCAUAUUCAUUGCAUAGUUUGUUAUAAUGCUCCCAAAUUAGACACCUAGGUGCAUACUGACAUUAGAAACAAUGUUGGCAAAUAGAGUUUCCAACUUUUUUGUACAAAAAAUUCAUUUUUCAUUUUCUAAGUGUUAAAAAUGGUUAUUUAUUGUGAAGCAAGUACAAAAAAUAGGAUGCAAAAUGGCACCACUCCAAUUAUCACAGUAAGUAGACCAUAUUUUAUGCACAAUUCCCCGGUUUCAUGGAUUUUCUAGUUUUCUAGAUACUUUCGCACAUUUAAAUGACUUUAUGUCAAUUUUCCAGAAAGUAAUUCAAAUAUGAACUGCAAGUGUGUGAUAGCUCAAUCAUAAAAAUUACCAAAAAAUAUUUUUAGAUACACGAGUAGUCAUUAUAUGGCAGAACCACUUAGUGUUUUGAGACAUUCAACUCCUUGUGAUGAAUAGUCAUGUCAACCAUUUUGACCCGGUUUUAGAAAAAAUGAAAGAAAAAGAAUACAGGUUUAAAAAAUGCAAUCCUUUCGCAUUGAGUCCUUUUAUGUGUAGUAAUUGCGAGGAAAAACAACAAAGUUUAAAUAUAACAAAUUUGAAAAAAAAAGUUCACAAAUCGGACUAUCGUGUAUGAACAUUCAUGGCUUUCAAGUCAAAGGACCAAGGUGAUGGGCAUAUUAAUUGCAUAGUUUACUUUAAUGUUCCCAAAAUAGACACAUAGGUGCAUCUUGACAUUACAACCAAUGUUUCCAAAUAGACUUUCUAACUUUUUUGUACUAAAAAAUCAUUUUUCAUUUUUGAAGUGUCAAAAAUGGGUUUUUUGUGAAGCAAGUACAAAAAACAGGGUGCAAAAUGGCACCACCCCAAUUAUCACAGUAAGUAGACCAUAUUUUAUGCACAGUUCCCCAUUUUCAUGGAUUUUCUAGUUUUCUAGCAAAUUUCGCACAUUUAAUUGACUUUAUGCCGAUUUUCUGAAAGUAAUUCCAAUUUGAACUACAAGUAUGUGAUAGCUCUAUCGUGAAAUUAGGAAAAAAAAUAUUUUUAGGUAGACAAGUAUCAUUAUAUGGGAUAACCACUUAGAGUUUUGAUAGAUUCAACCCCUUGCCAUGAAUAGAGAUGCCGGCCAUUUUGACCCCAUUUUAGAAAAAUGAAAGAAAAGGAAUACAUGUUCAAAAAAUGUAAUCCUUUCGCGUGGAGUCCUUUUACAUGUUCUAGUUGCAAGGAAAAAUACCAAACUUUCAAUAUGACAAAUUUGAAAAAUAAUCUACACAACACGGCUUAUCGUGUAUGAAUGUUCAUGGCUUUCAAGUGAAAUGACCAAGGUGAUGACCAUAUUCAUUACAUAGUUUAUUAUAAUAUGCCCAAAUUAGACACAUAGGUGUAUAUUGACAUUAUAAACAAUGUUGCCAAUAGAGUUUUGAACCUUUUUGUAUAAAAAUAUCAUUUUCUAUUUUCUAAGUGUAAAAAAGGGUGUAUUUUGUAAUUUUCUAUAUAUUAAAUAUACACAUCCACUGGGCUUGAAAUUUUUGUACACUCAAUAUACUUCAUUACAUGAUCCGUGACAAAAUUUGAUAUUUUUCAGUGGUUGUUUGCUAUAUUUAAAGUAUAUUCAAAACAUAGCAAAGAAACACAUAAUCCACCAAUGAGCACACAGCACACAGAUCAGUGACGUGGCGUCAUGGGAUAGGCCAAACUCCUCUCUCUCUCUCCCCCCGCAUGCACUCACCUUAUCUCCUCUCAAUUUCAGCCGCACAAACCUCAUCGCAUCUCUGUCCCCUCUGUCUUCACGCACGCACCUCACACCUCGGCUAGCAGCCUAGCACCGCCGUCUGCCGUCUUGCAAGCCACCGGCCGACGACCUCCCUCGCGCGCGUCAUGGAGGACGGGGACCUCCCCAUGACUGGUCACUAGUAGAAAACAGGGUUUUGGUCACAGGGCAAGAUUCACAUUAGUCCCGGUUCAGUCACACUAGUAGAAAAGGGGGCUUUUGUCCCGGUUGGUAAGGGCCUUUAGUCCCGGUUUUUGAACCGGGACUAAAGGGUCGUUACUAAUGCCUCCCCCCUUUAGUCCCGAUUCUUACACGAACCGGGACUAAAGGCCGUCCACGUGGACGCAGCCUGGAGCUCCACCUUUAGUCCCGGUUGGUGUUACCAACUGGGACUAAAGGAAAUUUUAUGAUAUUUUUUUUGAAAAAAAAUUUGCGAAUUUUUUUAUUUUCAAAUUUUUGAAUUAUUUUAACCUCUAAUCUCUAAUCACCACCCCUCAUCACUGCUCAAUUUAUCCUCUAAUCUCUAAUCACCCCUCAUCAUUCCAAAUCAUCUAACUUCCCGGAUGGUCACCCAUCCUCUCACUACUCCAGCCUGAGCACGCUUAACUUCCGGGUUCUAUUCUCCCUCGUUUCCAAGUCUGCACUGGUUGUUUUCCUGACAAUAGUAAGAUGUCAAUCCUAUUAACCCUUAGGAAUUUAGCUUGAGCAUGAAGUGACACAUUUCACUGUUUGAGUUUCAAACUAUUUUUUUUAAAAAACAAUAAUUAUUUAAUAACACUAAUAUUUCUAGAAUAAUUAGUCUGACCAUUGUUUGACCACAGUUUGACCACAGUUUGACCAGAUUUGACCAAAAUUCAAAAAAACUGAAAUAAUUAUUUAGUAACACUAAUAUUCUAGAAUAAUUAGUUUGACCAUUGUUUGACCACAGUUUGACCACAAUUUGAUUUUUUUUAAAUUUUUUAUCCUCUUCAGAUCUUAAAAGCCCCGUAUCUUUUUUUCUGUUAGGUUUUUGAGGAUUCUGAAAAUGUUUAACGGGGUUCCCCCAAUUAAAUUUGGAUGUAACUUUUCGAGGUGAUAAUUUUUCAUAUAAAAAACUUUUUCAUCCAAGUUCGUAUGCAAAAGUUAUGCCCAUUUUAAGAAAUUUCAGAGAGAUUUUGCAAAUAAAGUCGAAAUUCAUAUUUGUUAAUUUUCCCAACAACUAGACCACAUAUCACAUGGGAAACUUAUUUUAUUUUAUUUUUUGACAUUUCCAUCAUUUUCUUUUGUUUUUUCUAAAACUGAAAAGGCGGUCCACGGGGACCGGGACCAAUGCUCACAUUGUUGGGGAUAUACCCCGAGGUGUGACCCGCCCAGGAGGGGCCGGGUUACACCGUUGGCGACGUGCCGGCGUGGCGUGGUCGCGAACCAGCGAUCCACGCGCCAAAUAGGAUUUGCCGGCACUACUUGUAGGAGUCAGGAACACCUAUUUGACGCAAUUUGUGUCAAACAGAGUUUUUUUUAGAAAGGUCAAACAGAGCUACGAUGCACUUGGCGACCACCAUUGGGCCGUCCCAUUAGAGGAUGCGAGCAAGCCACUGUAAUUUUAGAAAUGUGAUUUUUGAACUAUUCGAGCACAACAAUGUCGCAACCAGGCCACUGUACAUGUGCUGCCCAUUUUCAGAAUACAUUUUUUUUAAAUCCAACUUUUCUAAAAUUUAUCAACAUUUCUCAAAAAUGAAAUGAAAUUGGAAUAAAAACCCUUUUUUGAAACAGACAAACAACUAUUGAUUUUUUUUAAUAAAACAUGAUUUUUUAAAUUCACACACAUUUUCCAAAAAUGUACAUUUUUUAUUGUUUGAACAAAGUUUAAAAACAUGAACAAUUUAUAAAAAAUACUAACACUUUUAGAAAUCCCCUAUCUUUUUUUAAACAUGAUUUUUUUAAAGUUUGAAUGAUAUUAUAAAAUGGCAACACAUUUUGAAAUUCCGAACAUUUCAUGAAAGAUACUAGUAUUUUUUAUAUUCCAGACUUUUUUUGAAAUGUAAAUAUUUUUGGAAAACACAAAAUGUCUGAACAUUUUUCCAAAAUGAAAACAUUUUUUGAAUUGGAGAACAAAUUUGGAAACAAUUUUCUUAAAAAUUCUAGCAAUUUUUAAGAUUAAGUUAUUUUCAUAUAUUCUGGAUUAUUUUUUGAAAAAUGUGAACAUUUUUUGAAGUUUUGAGCAUCGUUCAACAUGUUUUCAAAAAUAUAAAUAAAAAACGUGAAAGUUAAAUUCCGAACAAUUGGAAUUAUGCUGCUAAUCGACCCGGUGAGGUCGCCGAAGCUAGUAGCCUGGGCGGAGUGGUUCAGGAUCGCUGAGCCGGUCAAGGUGCCGCUGCCUGGGGUCGACAAGCUGGAGGUGUACAUCACUAACGUACUUUAGCCAAAGUGGAACGUUGCGGUCACUGGUAACUAAUUAAAGAUCGUGUCGCACCGAUAAUUCCAUUGCCUUCUUAGUUGUUGAGUUGUUGAACUGUUGUCGUUUCAUGAAUGGUGUGCAGGCGUGCAGUCUAUUCAAUCUGAGUUGUUGACAUGCCGUUUCGUGAACAAAUUGAAGCGUCGUCGAUCUUGCAUGUCUUUGUCGAGAACGUUUCCAAAUGUGACUUUUUUUUUUCUGUUGAGCUCUUUUAAGACCUCGCAUCUUAAUUACCAGUAUGUUCAACUAAGCAGAUUAUUCCCGAGCUCUGCAGGUAGUGAUUUCUAAGGGGUGGAUUUUACUUAGGAUAUGAUUUUUUCUUUGAGAAAUAACUGGGAAAUCCUUAUCCGAAUAUAUUGCUCAAAAGUGUUAUGAGGACUUGCUCCUAAUUUUCUUUACAGGAUACAUGAAGUGAUAAACAUAACCAAUCAAUUACGACAACAACAAAAAAGACCCUUCAAACAAAGGUUUUUUCUCUGGCCGCCGGCCUCUGCUACACCUCACUUGAAGUUCUACCGACCCUUGCCUCGAGAAUUUUUCGCUAUUGUCAAAAAAAAAUCGGAUGAUUUUGAAUUUGAACGUUGAAAAGGUACCAAAUAGUAUUCACAUGCAACCAUUAGCAUGGGAUGGACUCCUCUGCUCCGCACAUAAGGCUGGACCAAAAACUCAUAGCUCAUGAGCGCUAGCUCAACUCGUUAAGCUUGUACAACUGACGCUAAUGAACAAAGGCAAUCACUUAUUUCAGCUCGCAUAACGUAACGAGCUUAACAAACGAGCUAAUGAGUUUCUCAGGCAACUCAUUAAACACAUUAGUACAACACAACACAUAUUAUUAUCUUAAGUGACAAUAUUUCGUGGCACCCCAGCCCAUCGGAGGGAUCAAACUAGCGCACCUCCUCAUGGAGUUACCAUAUUCCUUCGUAAAGGCAUUUCUCCGUGUGGCUCUUCACGCACCGGGGGAAACCAUAGGUCUGAUUCAUCGGAUUGGACAAAGGCAGCGUUGUAGCGUCAUCCUCUACUUAAAGGUGUUGUCUUGGUUGCUCGUGAAGUCCUUGGUCUUGCAAUGGAAGAUGUUGGUCGCCAUGCUUGGUUUGGGCUGCUUCUCAAGGCUUGGGCAUCUGGGGCACAACAUACGAAAUCGUUGACCCUUCCUCCAUGGUCGCCUGCUUCCNNNNNNNNNNNNNNNNNNNNNNNNNNNNNNNNNNNNNNNNNNNNNNNNNNNNNNNNNNNNNNNNNNNNNNNNNNNNNNNNNNNNNNNNNNNNNNNNNNNNNNNNNNNNNNNNNNNNNNNNNNNNNNNNNNNNNNNNNNNNNNNNNNNNNNNNNNNNNNNNNNNNNNNNNNNNNNNNNNNNNNNNNNNNNNNNNNNNNNNNNNNNNNNNNNNNNNNNNNNNNNNNNNNNNNNNNNNNNNNNNNNNNNNNNNNNNNNNNNNNNNNNNNNNNNNNNNNNNNNNNNNNNNNNNNNNNNNNNNNNNNNNNNNNNNNNNNNNNNNNNNNNNUGAUUCCGUACGUGCUGGAGUUUUGGCGGCACGACGGAGGUUCUCCCAUUGGUCAUGACGCGGUCUGGUGUGAUGUGUCUCGUCUCCUUGUGUUCCUUGGCCAGAGGUCGGGCUAGGUGAGUUUAGGGUUGUGGUGUUUUCCUCUAUUGUGUUCUUACCCACACUUGUUAUGGCGCCUCGUUUUGUUUUCUCCUAACUAUCAAUGCAAAGAUGCGCAAUUCUUUGUGUAUUCGCCAAAAGAAUUCUACUACUAAACGGUCACGGUGAUUGAUCUCUAAAAUACAAAUUAUUUAUUAGCUUGGUGACCGGUUGGCAAGAAGCUGUGUAGGAUGAUGUUCUUCACAGGUUGUCGAGACCUCUUGCCUCGCUACUUUUGUGACAGCGUGGUGCCACGCCUCCUUUUACAUUCUUUCAAUUUUGUAUUAUUAUUUUUUGUAUGGUUGUGGCUUCGAGGCAGACGAAAGUGUCUUCCAGCUUACCAUGGCAGUACCUAAAAUAUGGGGUGGAAAGCCUCAUUUUGUAAAGAAAAGUUUGAAGCAGCCUUGUGUUGUCAAGUUGCACAGAAUUUGACAAGUCGAAGCAUCGCAGGAUGAAGACAGGAUGCAAGUUGGCGCAAACGUCUGACGCAAUUGCUUGAGGUUAUCAACAAGAAGCCAACGCCCAACUAGGGUGGAAGGAAGCACUACUUGCCAAGCACUGCCUAUCCGAUGCACCUAGUCUCAUUUCAGUGCACAAGUUGGGCACGCAGAGAAAAUUCCUCCGAGAUAUCUGUCGGCUGAGACGGCCCCCGCGUCGUCCGUGUGGGCGACACGGGAGGCGAUAAGAUCCGGUUUUCCAGGGCCCUCCUCUGUGUGCGCCUGCCCCUCGCCGCUGCCACCGGCCAGCUCCGUCGGGCUUGCCCUCGCGGCUAGCGGCGGCGGCGGGGAUCCGUUCCUGAGGCGUGAUGGGUGGCGUAUGGCUCUGCACGGCCGGCAACCUAAAGCAGCGGAGGUGGUUGUUGCGACGGCGACGUUGAUCCGGUAGAUGGCUGGCUUGCUGCAACGUGUACGUGACCCUUCCCCUCCCUAGCGCCGUCGGCAUCACAGGCUGCAAACGCUGCAACGCGGAGGAAAGGGAGUUGCCACAGCCACACAUCCCGACCUCGAGAGUCGGCUCCCUAGGGCCGGCGCUGCUCCUGGGCGCCUCUUUGGUGCAGGGGCAUAUGGGAUGUGGCGGUACACAUGCAGCGGGUUGUCGUUGAUGUCGCCCGCGCAGCCGGGAUCGAUGGUGGCGUGGCGCCAUGGAUCUGGCCAUGAUGACUUUGACGGCGAUGAUGACGAAGCUUGUGGCGGCGCAUGGUGGUGUCGUCUAAUAAUGAUAAGCCAUUGACUGCCACUCGGAGAUGGUGCAUGGCGUCCGGAGCGUCCCCUUGGGAUUUCGGUGGUGCCGGUGAGCUUUCUUCCUCGUCAAUGGUUCGUGCUGCGGAUAUGUCGUCAAGUUUGUGCAUGUUUGCAACAACUGGGAUCAUGGCAAGUGGAGGAGAUAGCAUAUGAAUUCGAUUGGGUGGUGCUUUUCGAGUACCCGGUCUUGAGCUCCGGGGUGAAAACCCUAGGUCUGUCAUCUUAUUGGCUAUACCUGGCAAUGGCGGCGCUUUGAGCGUCGUUUCCCUGGUGAAGGCAUUGCUUGGAGUUUGCUCGGACUUGAUCUUCAGGUUGAAAAUCCUCGAUCCGACCUUUGGGUGUUGGAUCCGGUGACGGCGUCACUUGUGUGUCGUUCCCUUUUUGGAGGCGUCGUUUUUGAAGAACCUCUCUCAUAGUAUGUAUGAUGUCAUGAGAUAGUUGAAGCCAAGGGUUGUCGCUGUACAUGCUAGUCGCUCUUCUUAUCGCUUUGGGACUGUUUUUUUCCUUUUUCUCUCUGCCUAGGCGUAGCUUUGGUCUAGUAUGAUUUAGCUCCUUGCCGGCAAGAUCUUUGUGUGCGUGUGCUUGUGUUGGCUGUGUGCAUUCUACCUAUGCAGAGGCCGGGUGUCUCUCAUUGUAAUUGUAUCACUCGAUGCUUUAUUAUGAGUCAAUAAAAAUCACCCUUUAUCGAAAAAAUAUAUAUGUCGGCUACUCGGAUUCGGUCUGUCCCUCUCUGACUAGAUAGUGUAGGUAGUAAAUCUUGUAGUAGUGUCUACUGCAGCUCACGUCAUGCGUGACAUAGUAUGGCUGCCAAAGUCGAGUCACCUUGACUGGCAGGCCUUCCACCCCUUGCUGCCCAAGGUAGGUGCUACCGUCGUUUUUGUACAGCUAUAGAAAGGGCCGAUGCCCUGCGUUGUAGAAGCAAACCAAUGCAAAGCAAUCCAUUUGAGCUUCACAAAACUACCACUCCAACGUGUGCUCCUCUCUCAAGUGUGUGUCCGUGUGCUAGUAGCCUACAGCACCGUUUCUCUCGGGAGGUACUCCAUAUACACGUUGAUUAACACGUAUACACAUCCUUCAACGACAAUCAUGGUCGGCGCUCAAGAGCAAGGGCUGAAGCUGCUGGUGCCGCGGAGCGGCGUGAGCAUAUAUGCCAUCCGCGUCCAGAUGCCGCUUGCCAUGAAGGGUCUGGCCUACGACUACCUCCCCAAGGACCCCGGGUGCAAGAGCGACCUACUCCUCGCGUCCAACCCCGUGCACAAGACGCUGCCCGUCCUCAUCCACGGCGGCAGGCCCGUCUGCGAGUCGCUCAUCAUCAUGGAGUACCUCGACAACGCAUUCCCCGGCAACGGCGCCUCCAUCCUCCCCGCCGACCCCUACCGCCGCGCCGUCGCUCGCUUCUGGGCCGCCUACAUCGACAACAAGGUUUGUUCCCUUCCCUCUCGUCUAGCUAGCUAGUUUGAGCUUGAAGAAUUGGAGUUGCAUCCCAGAGGGGCUGUUUUGUUGCCACAGAUGUUCCCUUCGUGCAUCGGCAUUCUCAGUACGGCGAAGCAGCAGGAGAAAGCCGACAAGGUGGAGGAGACCUUGGCGGCGUUCGGGCUCCUAGAAGCCGCCCUGGCAGAGUGCUCCAAAGAAGGGGAGGCGGAGGCAGAGGCGCCGUUUUUCGGUGGUGGCUCCAUCGGGUUCCUGGACAUUGCGCUCGGGUGCUAUAUUCCCUGGUUCGAAGCGAUAGGCCGCCUUGCUGGCAUGCCGCCGUUCCUAGACGCAACGAGGACACCAAAGCUUGCUGCGUGGGCGGGGCGGUUCAGGGCCGCCGAGCCGGUCAUUGCCCUGCUGACUGCGGUGGACAAGGUGGAGGAGUACAUCACUAAGGUGCUUUAUCCAAAGUGGAACGUCGCGGUCACAGUUGGUAACUAAUUAAAGAUGGUGUCUUUCCAUUGCCGGCGGGGGAUUGUGUCGAUCCAAUAAUUACUCUGCCAUUGCCGGAGCAGGCGUGCACUCUCUUCGAUCUGAGUUGUUGACAUGCUGUUGCGUGAAUACAUUGAAGCUUCGUCAUCUUGCAUCUCUCUGUCAAGAACGUUUCCAAAUGCAAUCUUUUUCUGUUGAGCUCUUUUAAGACGUCGCAUCUUAAUUACCAGUAUGUUCUACAAAACCGAUGGUUCUACCGGCUCCUACCCAAAAAAAAUGGUAUCGAGAAAACCAACUUGACUGGAACAUGACUGCCAUCACCAAGGAGACAGGAAGAAGAAGUGCAGUAAGGAGUGCCACUGGCAUUUUUGAAGGACAUCAUGAAGUGAUACCUUGCAAAUUGGAACAACUUCACCCGGCCGCUUUCUUAGCCACCAUCCACUGACUGGGUAUCAAGAGUAGAUGCAAAUCAACAUGUCAGCAUUGUCGAAAGGCAUUACUCCAGCGAGACAACACUGCAGACACAAAUAUUGCUGGCUGAUAUCGUGCUAUCACUGUGAGGUGUUCUGCCAACGCCAUAGAAGCGCGUUGCAAAAUGAGUUUCCAUCGAACUGCAUGAACCGUGACUGUAAGCUCCACCAUGGGGAUACCAAUAAGCACAUUACGAGAUGAGGCUGGCCGCCCACGCCAUCAAAGGGCACCUAUCAACCGAGACUACACCAAGAUCACAAAGCUCAUUACAUCACACCACCUGACGGAGUUGAGCAUGGAUACCCUGAGAUGGAGCAUAUGGAAGCACUAUGAUGUGAAUGGAGUGUCGCCGCCAAAACCCUAAAAAGCACCGCUGCCGAGGAACGCAAUGAUCCACGAGAAGUGUAAAGGACGGGGUUCCCCUGCAAUGUCUCCUCGAAAAGGGAAUGACAUGACUGGCUGCAAAUAUGCACAAGUGGUUAGGUAUCUAAAAAAGAGAAAAAUGUGUGUGUAUCACAAAAUGUUACUCACUCCGUCCCAAAAUUCUUGUCUUAAAUUUGUCUAGAUACGGAUGUACCUAAUACUAAAACGUGACUUGAUAUAUUCGUAUUUUAACAAAUCUAAAAUAAGAAUUUUGGGACGGAGGGAGUAGCAAAUAGUCCACGUGAGCCAAGACAGUGCAACGGGGAUAACACCAAGAACACGAAGCUCAUCACAUCACCAGGAAUUAUUUGCUAGUAUUUUGUGAUAUGGCUUCCGUCCAGGUGGCACGCUGGUCGGUCACUACAUAUAUAAGUAGGGCAACCUGUGGAAUAAAAUAGAAAUACAAGAUAAGAGGAGGAAAAUGUCUACUAAAUCAGUUAAUUACUGACACUCGGCAACAACAUCCAAGUAAAAAGGCCAGAUUCAAAAUGCCGGCAACUGAUGCCGAUAAUUGAGCUAUCAAAUGAUAAGAAAGUUACGUGUAUUAUUUUGAUCCCCGCCAUGAUGUAGGUGCAAACUUGCUCGUCUAGAUGCAUGUCAUGUAGUGACACUAUGCAAUAUUUUAAAUCAAGAUGCUAAGCUGAUAAGCUCUCGUUUGGAAUUCUUCCAAACUCUAUGACCUGUAAGUUUGUAACCUCAAUCAAAUUAAUGGUACUUGUUAUUUAAAGUUUGGUUGUAUGCGUACAACAGUAAGAUUUGAUAUCUAUAUACAAAACUUUCCCUAGUUAGUCUUGGUACUCCUUGUUUAAAUAUGCAAAAUAGCCAGUCGUGCUCUCCUCCCUGCGGUGGUUGUUCCUGUCGGCAAUUUGGUUUCCACAUAUUUGGAUCGUGAUUCGUUGAUUUUUGGGAAUGCUCGUUCACAGGUCGGAGCAAAAUCUCUGCUCGGCUUGCCGAUGCUGGCAGUGAGAAGACCUACGGGUGUCGUCCCCUUCUUGGAGGCGUUGCCAAAGCCUUUCCCCGUGCCCCAGUUCACGCACCUGGAACCAUAGGUCUGGUUCAUCGGAUUGGACAACGGCAGCGUUGUAGUGUCAUCCCCUUCUUAAAGGCGUUGUUUUGGUUGCUCGUGAAGUCCUCGGUGUUGGAAUACAAGAUGUUGGUCGCCAUGCUUGGUUUGGGCUGCUUCUCAAGGCCUGGAGAUCCGGCGCGCAAUGUACGAAAUCGUCGACGCUUCCUCCAUGGUCUCUAGGCGCCCAGGGUGGGGGAUACGUUGAUUCCGUACGUGCUGGAGUUUGGCGGCACGACGGAGGUCCUCCCGUUGGUCGUGACGCAGUCUAGGUGCGAUGUGUCUUAUCUCCUUGCCUUCCUUGGCUGGAGGUUGGGCUAGGCGAGUUUAGCGUUGUGGUAUUUUCCUAUAUUGUGUUCUUACCCACACUUGUUAUGGCGCCUCGUAUUGUUCUCUCCUAAUUAUCAAUGAAAAUAUGCGCAAUUCCUUGUGUAUUCGUGAAAAGAAUUCUACUACUGAACGGUCACGGGGAUUGAUCUCUAAAAUACAAAUCCUUUAUUAGCUUGGUGACUGGCUGGCAAGAAGCGGUGUAGGGUGAUGUUCUUCACGGGUUGUGGAAACCUCUUGCCUCGCUGCUUUUAUGAUAUCGCAGUGUCGCAUUUUACUUUCUUUCCAUUGUUGUAUUUUUUUGUAUGGUUGUGGCUUCAAGGCAGACGUAAGCGUCUUCCAGCUUAUCAUGGCAGCAGCACUAAUUGGAUAGCUUUCUGUAAAAUAUUUUUUGCAAAAAAAGAAAAGCUUUCUACUCCCUCUGUACCAUAAUACUUGUAGUGGGGGGAACAAGGAGGGAGUAUAAAACAUGGGGCGGAAAGCCUCAUCUUCUAAAGAAAAGUUGGAAGCAGCCUUGUGUUGUCAAGUUGCAAAAAAUUUGGCAAGUUGAAGCAUCGCAGGAUAAGGACAGGAUGCAAGUUGGCGCAAACGUCUGACGCGUUUGCUUGAGGUUAUCAGCAACGAGCCAAUGCUCAACUGGCCAAGCACUGCCUAAGCGAUGCACCAAGUCUCAUUUCAGUGCACAUGCUGGGCACACAAAGAAAAUUCUUCCGAGAUAUCUGUCGCAUUCGGUCUGUCUUUCUCAGGCUAGCUAGCUACUUGCAGUCUUGCAUACGUUAUCCAGAAGAGAAGCAGCGAGAGGCCAGGAUGGUGCACCUCAAUUUUCUGUCCUUCAUUUUCUGUCGACGGACUGUGGACCAACACAUGGAACUGUCUUUUUCUCUUCAUCUAAUACCUUUUCCCGUGCCGCGGACGGCAAGAAAAAUAAUUGGCCUCCAAUUAGUUUGAAGCAUCACAGGAUCAAGACAGGAUGCAAGUCGGCGCAAACGUCUGAGGCAUUUGCUUGAGGCUAUCAGCAAGGAGCCAACGCCCCCCUGGUGUAGAACGAAGUACUACUUGCCAAGCACAGCCUAACCGAUGCACCUAGUCUCAUUUCAGUGCACAUGCUGGGCGCGCAGAGAAAAUUCAUCCGAGAUAUCUACUGCAGUUCACGUCAUAACCGAUGCACGUCACCUUGACUGGCAGGUCUUCCACCACUUGCUGCCCAAGGUAGGUGCUACAAUCGUUUUUGUACAGCUGUCCAGCGUUGUAGCAGCAAGCAUCCAUUUGAGCUUCACAAAACUAGUACUCCAACGUGUGCUCCUGUCUCAAGUGUGUGUCCGUGAGCUAGCUUCAGUAUUAGUGCAGUUUAGCUACUAGUUGGAACUUACGUUGACACUCCUGUCAUCUGCGUGUUGUGCACUAGUGUGUCCGUGUGCUAGAGGCAUUUCAUAUACACGCCAUUAGCACGUACAUACGUACAUCCUUCAACGACAAUCAUGGACGGCGAUCAAGAGCAAGGGCUGAAGCUGCUGGUGCCACGGAGCGGCGUGAGCAUAUACGCCAUCCGCGUCCAGAUGGCACUCGGCAUCAAGGGUCUGGCUUACGACUACCUCCCGGAGGACCCCGCGUGCAAGAGCGACCUCCUCCUCACGUCCAAUCCCGUGCACAAGACGCUGCCCGUCCUCAUCCACGGCGGCAGGCCCGUAUGCGAGUCGCUCAUCAUCAUGGAGUACCUUGACUAGGCAUUCCCCGGCAACGGUGCCUCCAUCCUCCUCAACGAACCCUACCGCCGUGCUGUCGCCCGCUUCUGGGCCGCCUAUGUCGACAACAAGGUUUGUUCACUUCCCUCUGAUCUAGCUAGUUUGAGCUUGAAUAAUUGAAGUUGCAUCCCACGGGUGCCGUUUUCUUGACGCAGAUGUUCCCUUCGUGCAUCGGCAUUCUCAAUACGGCGAAGCAGCAGGAGAGAACCGACAAGGUGGAGGAGACCUUGGCGGCGUUCGGGCUCCUAGAGGCCACCUAGGCGGAGUGCUCCAAAGAAGGCGAGGCGGAGGCUCCGUUAUUCGGUGGCGGCUCCAUCGGGUUCCUGGACAUCGCGCUCGGGUGCUAUAUUCACUGGUUCGAAGCGAUAGGCCACCUUGCUGGCGUCGCCGUUCCUAGACACGUCGAGCUGGUCAUUGCGCUGCUGACUGCGGUGGAGAAGGUGGAGGAGUACAUCACUAAAGUGCUUUAUCCAAAGUGGAACGUCGCGGUCACAGCUGGCAACUAACUAAAGAUGGUGCGCAGGCGUGCACUCUCUUCGAUCUGAGUUGCUGACAUGUUGUUUCGUGUAUAAAUUGAAGCUUGGUCGAUCUAGCAUCUCUCUGUCAAGAACGUUUCCAAAUGCAAUGUUUUUCUGUUGAGCUCUUUUAAGACGUCGUAUCUUAAUUACCAGUAUGUUCUACCAAGCAGAUUAUUCCCGAGCUCUGUGCGUACUGAUUGCUAAGGGAUGGAUUUUACUAGGGAUAUAACUGUUUUUUUUUUUUGAGAAAUCACUAGGAAAACCUUACCAUAAUAUAUUGCUCAAAAGUGUUACAAAGACAAUCCUGCUAUUUGGAGUAGUUUAGAUGGUUAACCAACUCUCAGAUAAGUGACAUAUUAUAUAAGAAGAGGCUAGUCCCCAAAAUUUGGAGUAGUUUAGAUGGUUACAGUAGUGACUCAGUCUAUGGAGUGCAGCAUGACUUCAGAUGCAGCUGUGUAAGGCUACUUAUAGUGGGGAGUGUCUUAUGCUAGUAUCAUGCAUAUGAUAAUAGUAUAUGAUCUACCUAUAUUACUCUAACCCUCUCUCUUCUUUAAUUCUCUACCACAUCAGCGUAUUUGCUAUUUUCGAGUGUAUAAUACCGACUAAAUUACCACCACUAUGGCCAGCCUAAUAUGCAUGAAGUCGGUCAAGCCUCGAAAACAAAAAAUCAGUCAGACUUGCCGGCAAAAGUGGAUCACCGACUAAAAUAAAACUACAUUGUAUUACUCCCUCUGUUCCUAAAUACAAGUCUUUUAAGAGAUUUCAAUAUGGACUACAUAUAAUCGUAGACGGAGCAAAAUAAGUGAAUUUACAGUCUAAAAUACGUCUAUCUACAUCUGUAUAUAGUUUUUAUUGAAAUAUCUAAAACGUCAUAUAUUUAGGAACGGAGGGAGUAGCAUGCAUGCAUGCACCCGGGCUUAGGGCAUCUCCGAUAGCUGUCGAUCAUUUUCCUUCCUUGUUUUGAGCAAGUGUACAUACGUUCCAGCUAUAUGGCAGGAGAAAAGAAGGUGCCGCUGAAACGUGGCUAACUAGAGGCCAAUUAUUUUUCUUACCGCCGCGCGGCACGGGAAAAGGUAUUAGAUGAAGAGAAAAAGACAGUUCGAUGUGUUGGCCCACGGUCCGUCGACAUAAAUUGAGGUGCACCAUCCUGGCCUGUCGCUGCUUCUCUUCUGGAUAGUGUACUCAACGCCACACAAUACCGUAACGUAUGCAAGACUGCAAGUAGCUAGCUAGCCUGAGAGGGACAGACCGAAUCCGACAGAUAUCUCGGAAGAAUUUUCUUUGUGUGCCCAAUAUGUGCACUGAAAUGAGACUUGGUGCAUUGGUUAGGCUGCUUGGCAAGUACCACCCCAGUGGGGGGUUGGCUACUUGCUGAUAACCUCAAGCAACUACCACCCCAGUGACGUUUGCGCCAACUUGCAUCCUGUCUUGAUCCUAUAGAUCCCAAAGAUUGGAUGGUUAUGUGGUUCCCUGAUUUUCUUCUAAUUGUUCUGCCAUCCAUGCUCAACUCCGUCAGGUGGUGUGAUGUAAUGAGCUUUGUGAUCUUGGUAUAGUCUCGAUUGAUAGGUGCCCUUUGAAGGCGUGGGCGGCCAGCCUCAUCUCGUAAAGUUUUUAUCGACAUACCCAUGAUACAACUCGCGGUCAUGGUUCGUGCAGUUCGGUGGAAACUCGUUUUUGCAAUGUGCUUCUAUGGUGUUGGUAGAACACCUCACAGUGAUACUCCCUUCAUUUUUUAUACAAGGCCACAAACUCGAAUUACACGUACCAAUGUAAAAUUUAAUGCCUGCUUUACAAGUUAACUUUUCUUCUUGUUUACUAGGAUCAUUAAUACUCCGCAUGCAUGCAAAGAAACUGAAUGGAGGAAGUAGCUGACUGUCAUUAUGACUGCAUGCAUGCAAGUAUUAAACAGGUUGUUAGUACGAGAAAAUAUCAUUAAUUUUGAUUUGAUUAUUG
rnacentral:lncRNA from 1 species